rnacentral:rRNA from 1 species
GCGCAGCAGGCGAGAAUUUUCUCAAUGGGGGAAACCCUGAAGGAGCGACGCCGCGUGGAGGAUGAAGGUCUUCGGGUUGUAAACUCCUGUCAUUUGAGAACAAGGCACGCGUGGGUUAACUGGCACGAGUGUUGAUAGUAUCAGAAGAGGAAGGGACGGUUAACUCUGUGCCAGCAGCCGCGGUAAUACAGAGGUCCCAAGCGUUGUUCGGAUUCAUUGGGCGUAAAGGGUGUGUAGGUGGCGCCGUAAGUCGGGUGUGAAAUCUCGGGGCUUAACUCCGAAACUGCAUUCGAUACUGCGGUGCUUGAGGACUGGAGAGGAGACUGGAAUUCAUGGUGUAGCAGUGAAAUGCGUAGAGA